rnacentral:misc_RNA from 1 species
GUGAUUGAGCUGGCUUCGGCCGCUCUGAUCUAUACACACCUGUGAACUGUUGGCCUUCGGGUCUUUAAUUACGACUGUGACGAACGUAAAUUAUUAUAACAAAUAAAACUUUUAACAACGGAUCUCUUGGCUCUCGCAUCGAUGAAGAACGCAACGAAAUGCGAUAAGUAAUGUGAAUUGCAGAAUUCAGUGAAUCAUCGAAUCUUUGAACGCACCUUGCGCCCGUUGGUAUUCCGACGGGCAUGCCUGUUUGAGUGUCGUGAACAACCUCAACCUUGAUUGGUUUUACCAUCAAGGCUUGGACUUGGGUGUUGCUGCUGCAAAGUGGCUCGCCUUAAAACUAUUAGCUGGACUUGUCUAUGACUUGGUUCGACUCGAUGUAAUAAGUAUUCAUCGGGGACGGGGUUAAACCUGGCCAAGGCUUGAUGCCGUCUGCUUCUAAUCAUGUUCUCACUAUGAGACGCUACUUUACUGU